rnacentral:rRNA from 1 species
UAUGUGAUCGUCUCUCGCAUAUCAAUAAGCGGAGGAAAAGAAACUAACAAGGAUUCCCCUAGUAACGGCGAGUGAAGCGGGAAGAGCUCAAAUUUGAAAUCUUAAGGGGUUUCCCUUUACGAAUUGUAGUUUAAAGAAGUGUUUUCUGUUGAGGUUUUGGUAAAGGUUCUUUGGAAUAGGACAUCAUAGAGGGUGAGAAUCCCGUAUUUGACCUUUACUUUCAACUUUGUGAUACACUUUCAAAGAGUCGGAUUGUUUGGGAAUGCAGUCCAAAAUGGGUGGUAAAUUUCAUCUAAAGCUAAAUAUUGGCGAGAGACCGAUAGCGAACAAGUACCGUGAGGGAAAGAUGAAAAGAACUUUGAAAAGAGAGUUAAACAGUACGUGAAAUUGUCAAAAGGGAAGCGUUUGACACCAGUGUUGUUUUUCUGAAAAUCAAUUAAAGAACUGUUUAUGCUAAGCUGUUUAGACUUUAUCAGCUAUCUGUUUAGUUUUGAGCUUUUCUUUAAUGCACUUUUCAGUUAACAAGUCAACAUCAAUUUCUUUUGCUGUAAAAAAGCUUGAGGAAGGUGGCUUGAGAUUCGUCUUAAGUGUUUAUAGCCUCUUGCCUAUGCAGUCGGAGAGAUUGAGGUCUGCAGCGUAGAUCCUUCGGGGCUAAAUGCAUUUGUGCUAAGUUAUAGCAUUUUAUAGACAACUUGUUGACUAUGAUUUGUCUUGUAGCUUACUCGCUUAUGUUAUUUUACCUACGCUUAGGAUGUUGAAGACUCUACAGAGAUA